rnacentral:rRNA from 1 species
GAGUUGCGUAGGUGGCAAAGUAAGCGAAGUGUGAAAUCUUAUGGCUCAACCAUAAGUCUAUACUUUGAACUGCUUAGCUAGAGCAUGAGAGAGGUAACUGGAAUUUCUAGUGUAGGAGUGAAAUCCGUAGAUAUUAGAAGGAACACCGAUGGCGUAGGCAGGUUACUGGCUCAUUGCUGACACUAAGGCACGAAAGCGUGGGGAGCGAACGGGAUUAGAUACCCCGGUAGUCCACGCCGUAAACUAUGGAUGCUAGCUGUUAUCGGUAUCGACCCCGGUAGUAGCGAAGCUAACGCGUUAAGCAUCCCGCCUGUGGAGUACGAGCGCAAGCUUAAAACAUAAAGGAAUUGACGGGGACCCGCACAAGCGGUGGAGUGUGUUGUUUAAUUCGACGAUAAGCGAAGAACCUUACCAAGGCUUGACAUCCUGGGAAGGUCUCCGAAAGGAGACUGUGCCUUCGGGAAUCCAGUGACAGGUGUUGCAUGGCCGUCGUCAGCUCGUGUCGUGAGAUGUUUGGUUAAGUCCAUUAACGAGCGCAACCCUUAUAGUUAGUUGAAUUUCUCUAGCUAGACUGCCCCGGCAACGGGGAGGAAGGAGGGGAUGAUGUCAGGUCAGUAUUACCCUUACGCCUUGGGCUACAAACACACUACAAUGGCCGGUACAAAGGGCAGCUAAGCCGUAAGGCGGAGCAAAUCCCAUCAAAGCCGGUCUCAGUUCGGAUAGCAGGCUGAAACCCGCCUGCUGAAGCUGGAAUCG